AGAGUUUGAUCCUGGCUCAGAUUGAACGCUGGCGGCAUGCCUUACACAUGCAAGUCGAACGGCAGGCACGGGAGCUUGCUACCUGGUGGCGAGUGGCGAACGGGGUGAGUAAUACAUCGGAACGUACCUGAAGUGGGGGAUAACGUAGCGAAAGUUACGCUAAUACCGCAUAUUCUGUGAGCAGGAAAGAGGGGGAUCGCAAGACCUCUUGCUUUAGGAGCGGCCGAUGUCGGAUUAGCUAGUUGGUGAGGUAAAGGCUCACCAAGGCGACGAUCCGUAGCGGGGUCUGAGAGGAUGAUCCGCCACACUGGGACUGAGACACGGCCCAGACUCCUACGGGAGGCAGCAGUGGGGAAUUUUGGACAAUGGGCGCAAGCCUGAUCCAGCCAUGCCGCGUGAGUGAAGAAGGCCUUUCGGGUUGUAAAAGCUCUUUCGGUGGGGAAGAAAUGGCACGGGUUAAUACCCUGUGUUGAUGACGGUACCCGCAUAAGAAGCACCGGCUAACUACGUG
rnacentral:rRNA from 1 species